CUGAGACAAGAAGAUUGAGCUCUCUGAGACUCCCUUUCAGGACUACCACUUGCCAAUGCGGUACUUUGGUGCAAUUUGAAAGAGGUGCCCCAUCUAGGCACAUGCCUUGGAUGAAGAGCCCAGUGGAAGAAUUUCGCUGUAAACCAAUGCUGCUGGGAAGGAGAUUUCCAUCCCCAGGGAAACCUAAGUUUUUAGGAAUCUGAUCAUGAAGACAGGCAGGCUCCGAGGGCCCAGCACAGCCUGCCCGUCUUGCAGCAUGAUUCUGCCUGGGAGUCAGGGAACCCACACUGGCUGAUGGAGGACUGGGAGAGCUGCGGGUAGCCUGAGGGGCGGGCAGAGAGAUCCGGAGCCAAGAACUGACUAGAUCAACCAGUAAAUAAAAGGUCACAAUGAUUUUUCCAGGCACCCAGGGAGAAGCAGACAAGAGAGCCCAGCUGACGGCAGGAGCUGACAACUGGCAAAUGAGCCUCCACAGUUAUCUGUUUUCCUUCCUUAUUCUUGUCUCAUAAGACAGAGGCUAGAAAUAGAUGCAACUGGCAGAUGACUUAAGGAUGAAAAAUGGGCAACGUGUUAGUUGUGGGGGACUCCAUGGUAGUGAAAGAGGGAGAUUACCUUGGAGGCAGGGAGAAAACACAGGGCUUAGCUAGAGCCAUAGCCGAGGGUUUGGCUCUCACACUGUCCCAGGCAUUGUAUAGGGAUUUCACCUUCUCAGCAGUCCUAUCAGGUAGGUAUUAUUGUUAUCCCCACUUUACAGAAGACAAGACCAAGGCUUAGAGAGGAUACGCUAGGCCAUAUCAAAGAGUGAU